rnacentral:rRNA from 1 species
CAGUCGCCGCGGGAAAACCAGCACCUCGAGUGGUCAGGAGGUUUAUUGGGCCUAAAGCAUCCGCAGCCGGUUGCAUAAGUUUUCGGUUAAAUCUAUGCGCUUAACGUAUAGGCCGCCGAAAAUACUGUGCAGCUAGGGAGUGGGAGAGGUACACGGUACUCGAUAGGAAGGGGUAAAAUCCUUUGAUCUAUUGAUGACCACCUGUGGCGAAGGCGGUGUACCAGAACACGUUCGACGGUGAGGGAUGAAAGCUGGGGGAGCAAACCGGAUUAGAUACCCGUGUAGUCCCUGUCUCUUAUAA